GGAGAGGUGGGAGAGAGGCUUAAUCCAGCGGUUUGCUAAACCGCCGUACUUCAAAAAGAGGUACCGGGGGUUCGAAUCCCCCCCUCUCCG
rnacentral:tRNA from 1 species